UACGGAGGGUGCAAGCGUUAUCCGGAUUCACUGGGUUUAAAGGGUGCGUAGGAGGGCAGGUAAGUCAGUGGUGAAAUCCCCGAGCUUAACUUGGGAACUGCCGUUGAUACUAUCUGUCUUGAAUACCGUGGAGGUGAGCGGAAUAUGUCAUGUAGCGGUGAAAUGCUUAGAUGUGACAUAGAACACCAAUUGCGAAGGCAGCUCGCUACACGAAUAUUGACUCUGAGGCACGAAAGCGUGGGGAUCAAACAGG
rnacentral:rRNA from 1 species